rnacentral:rRNA from 2 species
CACUGCUAAUACCCGAUGUGCCGAGAGGUGAAAGAUUUAUCAUCUGAAGAUGAGCUCGCGUCCGAUUAGCUAGUUGGUAAGGUAAGAGCUUACCAAGGCGACGAUCGGUAGCUGGUCUGAGAGGAUGACCAGCCACACUGGGACUGAGACACGGCCCAGACUCCUACGGGAGGCAGCAGUGGGGAAUUUUCCGCAAUGGGCGAAAGCCUGACGGAGCAAGACCGCGUGAGGGAGGAAGGCUCUUGGGUUGUAAACCUCUUUUCUCUGGGAAGAAGAUCUGACGGUACCAGAGGAAUCAGCAUCGGCUAACUCCGUGCCAGCAGCCGCGGUAAUACGGAGGAUGCAAGCGUUAUCCGGAAUUAUUGGGCGUAAAGCGUCCGUAGGUGGCGGUUCAAGUCUGCCGUUAAAACCAGUAGCUUAACUACUGACAGGCGGUGGAAACUGAACAGCUAGAGUGUGGUAGGGGUAGAGGGAAUUCCCAGUGUAGCGGUGAAAUGCGUAGAGAUUGGGAAGAACACCGGUGGCGAAAGCGCUCUGCUGGACCACAACUGACACUCACAGGACGAAAGCUAGGGGAGCGAAAGGGAUUAGAUAC